ensembl:lncRNA
AUGUAUGAUGACUACGCGCCAUGUCUGUUGGUUGCCAAGGCAGCGGCGUGUUCUGCCAGCCGCGCGCUCACCUUGAAUGAAUGGAGGACCUGUGAGAUUCGCGUAACAGCCUUUAAAGGCGGCGGAAGGAGGGUGGAGUGGAAGUGCGUCAAUCACCAAGUGCCGGUACACGCCCACGGCAACGAGCGUUGUUUGUAUACGGGCCUGGAUACAGAAAUACUGGAGCUGCCUCUUUCCCAGAAUGUGUGAAUACAGAACUCACACAUAGGCACAAUUUUAUUUAACCCUAUAUGCUGAAAAGACCAAUAUGCUGGUUAGUGGUGGACUAGCAUAGCUUUGAACCCAGAAACUGCCAGGUAAGAGGGACACCAGCUUUCAAAACACAACAUAUGCUGAAGGGAAGACUUAAAAGGCUUUUAUAGAACAUAAGGCAUAUAGUCUGGACUGAAAGCAAACGGUGAGUCAUAGGUGUGUCUGAAUAUAUGCACAACCACAUUGUCAUGAGGCAUGAGUCACACACAUACAAUAAUAAUGUGUGAGAAUUAUGCUUUUGCAGGUGGUGUUCAGGGCAUAAACUUGACAGCAUCAAAAUGUCCUGUUUGAAAUAUAUCCUUACCUAGCACAGCUAUGAGUCAUCCUCCACCAACACUGAUAAAUCUGUGCAAUGAACAUUCUGUAAAAGUUGCAAUGUCCUUGCUUUUUCCAAGAAAUGGCACAAUAGCAGGAAUCGCUAGUGAUUUAAUGAUUUUCCGGAUAUAAAAUGUGAGUCAGUGUCAUGAGUCUGAUGCUCAGAUAUGCUCAUAAAUUUCAUUCUCAAAAUGUUAUGUAACCCAAGUUUUCAAUGUGAAUGAAGAUAUAUGCUUGUGUUUGUAUGCUAGCAUGGCAUAGUCUCUUACUGUGCAACCAACAAAGCCAGUAACCACCGGCCGUCCACCCCCACACUGAGCUUGUAAACAAAAUAACAGCUCACGCCUUACAAGCUGCAAAAUGUGAGUUUACACAAAUGUCA